CAGGAAGGAGCCCGUCUACGAGUGGCAUCAAAUGCGAGGAAGCAUGGCUUGGACACCCCCAAAUCAAGCUAUCGGUUUCAACUCCCUUUCCGGAUGAGAGCAUUUACUUGUUUUCCAUGCGGCUGUACAACGGUAUGCUCGAAAGCUGGUCGGGAAUUCUGGGCAAUGCCAACUUAUUUUUGUUGGGCUUGUGUAAAGAGACCAGGAAAAUUUGCGUAUCGUAUCUUAUGAAGGACCAGCACUCUCCCGUCUGUAAACGUUGGAGAUUUGGCAAUCUUAGCUCACAAGUCAAAAGAAGUGAGGAAACGAAAAUGCUAGACGUUAUUUCGUGGACUUUCUGCCAAAAGAAUCGACAUCCAGGAACAACACAGGCUCUAAUAUUUCUUAAUUGUGUUUUCGCAACACAACACCAGUAGCAAAGUUUUAAGCUUGGAAGAUGAA